rnacentral:tRNA from 1 species
AUUCAGGUAGCUUAAGCUAGAGCAAAGCAUUGAAGAUGCUUAGGUAGAUUUAAAUCUUUUGAGUA